GACGAACGCUGGCGGCGUGCCUAAUACAUGCAAGUAGAACGCACAGUUUAUACCGUAGCUUGCUACACCAUAGACUGUGAGUUGCGAACGGGUGAGUAACGCGUAGGUAACCUGCCUGGUAGCGGGGGAUAACUAUUGGAAACGAUAGCUAAUACCGCAUAAUAUUGAUUAUUGCAUGAUAAUUGAUUGAAAGGUGCUAUUGCAUCACUACCAGAUGGACCUGCGUUGUAUUAGCUAGUAGGUGAGGUAACGGCUCACCUAGGCGACGAUACAUAGCCGACCUGAGAGGGUGAUCGGCCACACUGGGACUGAGACACGGCCCAGACUCCUACGGGAGGCAGCAGUAGGGAAUCUUCGGCAAUGGACGAAAGUCUGACCGAGCAACGCCGCGUGAGUGAAGAAGGUUUUCGGAUCGUAAAGCUCUGUUGUAAGAGAAGAGCGGGUGUGAGAGUGGAAAGUUCACACUGUGACGGUAUCUUACCAGAAAGGGACGGCUAACUACGUG
rnacentral:rRNA from 1 species